rnacentral:rRNA from 1 species
UACGUAGGGGGCGAGCGUUGUCCGGAUUUAUUGGGCGUAAAGAGCGUGUAGGCGGCCAAGCAGGUCAGCUGUGAAAACUCGAGGCUCAACCUCGAGACGUCGGUUGAAACCGUUUGGCUAGAGUCCGGAAGAGGAGAGUGGAAUUCCCGGUGUAGCGGUGAAAUGCGCAGAUAUCGGGAAGAACACCCGUGGCGAAGGCGGCUCUCUAGUACGGUACUGACGCUGAGACGUGAAAGCGUGGGGAGCAAACAGG